GACGAACGCUGGCGGCGUGCCUAAUACAUGCAAGUAGAACGCUGAAGGAGGAGCUUGCUUCUCUGGAUGAGUUGCGAACGGGUGAGUAACGCGUAGGUAACCUGCCUGGUAGCGGGGGAUAACUAUUGGAAACGAUAGCUAAUACCACAUAAUAGUAGAUGUUGCAUGACAUUUGCUUAAAAGGUGCAAUUGCAUCACUACCAGAUGGACCUGCGUUGUAUUAGCUAGUUGGUGGGGUAACGGCUCACCAAGGCGACGAUACAUAGCCGACCUGAGAGGGUGAUCGGCCACACUGGGACUGAGACACGGCCCAGACUCCUACGGGAGGCAGCAGUAGGGAAUCUUCGGCAAUGGACGGAAGUCUGACCGAGCAACGCCGCGUGAGUGAAGAAGGUUUUCGGAUCGUAAAGCUCUGUUGUAAGAGAAGAACGAGUGUGAGAGUGGAAAGUUCACACUGUGACGGUAUCUUACCAGAAAGGGACGGCUAACUACGUG
rnacentral:rRNA from 1 species